AAGGAGAAAGCACUUGAAUUUAAUGUUCUGUUUUGCUUCGUGUGUUUCCUUUCUUUGUCCAAGGUGAAAGUGUGGUUCCAGAACAGGAGGAUGAAGUGGAAGAGGGUAAAAUUGGGCCAGCCGGGCACUGCUGCCUGAGAAAAGGAACUGGUGAACGUGAAGAAAGGAACCCUGCUCCCUUCAGAGCUGUCAGGGAUCGGUGCAGCCAUGCUCCAGCAAACAGGGGACUCUCUGGACAAUGAAGACAGCCACAACAGGACCACAGCUCAGAGCAUGCACACUUAUGAUCCACACAGACAGGACCAGCUUCAUUCUCAGGAAAGAAGCACCAUGAUGGCAAGCCUUACCCAACAGAGUUUACACAGAGAGAUGGCCAUGGCCAUGAUUUUUAAUAUUAUUAAAUUCAGGCAUCAUGGGUCUGUUUUGCAUGAUUUAUAGAGGAAGGAAGUGCCACUUAUCAAAGAUGCUUCCAUGAUGAAAAUCAGAAGAAAUGGUGUCAGACAAGGAGCAAAGCCAAAUGGGCUCCCCAAGGGGAUAGACAAAACAAUUCUGAACGUCUUCAAAUUAAAUUCAGUAAAAACACAUUAUUUUUUAAUAUGUGAUGUAUUCUUGCAGAACAACCAUCUUUGUAUUUUGUGAAAAAUGUUUAAUAAAUGAUCCUUUAUAAAUAA